ACUGUAUGUCCGUCCAUCACUCUUUCAUGUCACGCUGACAUGGUGCUGCUCAUUCUCCUCAUCUUUACACUCUUUUUGGAGGUUCAACUUCAAAGUACAGCAUUCUCUGAUCAGUCCUGGCUGACAGCAUCUCCAACAUCAAUUCAGAAAGACUCAAGCACAGCACAGCUGAAACAUGACGCACAAGACUCUGAUUUGAGUAAAAAUGAGCAGCCGAACAUUAAAGUCAUCCAUGACUCUCAACUUGGUCAAUUUAGAGUUUUCUGUGAAAUACCAGGCUCAGAUAAUGGUGGUUAUACUUGUUUUCUUUCUCUUGGAGAUGAAUAUCCACAUUUUAAAAAGACAGAUUCUCAUGAACUGUCUGGAAAAACACAGUGUAUUUUUACAGUAUUGGAAUAUGAAUUUUCAAAUAAUCUUAAAUUAGUCAAGAAUAAAGUAGUGAGCUGCAGUUAUUCUCCAAAAAAUGCAACAUCCAAACGAUCAUAUAGUGACAAGUUCAACCUAACAGCUUUUUUCCCAACUCCAUCACCACAAACAACAAAGGGAACAUAUUCAACACCAACUUUUUCUACAAGUGCAACAACAACAGAGCCAAAAACAACUCUGGCAACAGAAUCCAGUACUUGUUAUGAGACCACAAUAAACUCUACAACUGGCUACACUGUAGAAACUACUCAUACCACUUCAGAAGCUCUCAGUGUUACGUGGAACACAACAGCAGCUCUCAAAGUUUCAACUCCUGGUAAACAUGCUGACCAAAGAACACCAACAGCAAACAAAAAAACAUGGCACAUCAUGAUACUGGCAGCCACCAGCGGAGGGGUUUUCCUGGCCGGACUCAUGGGAAUCUCUCUGUGUUGCAUCAGGCGACAACCAAAGAAGGAAAGCCCUAUGAAUACUUCUGUAGCAGACAUUUCCCAAACCCCAGAUAAUAUUGACGCCAAUGAGGAACGUUUGGAAGAAAAUGAGAUUCCAGAUUUUUAAUCAAUGGAAAGCUUAUCAGAUGAUGUGUAAGUCUCAAUUUUAAAAAAAUAUGAGUGGUUUUGUGGUCCUGUGUCACAUAUGUACAAUCGAAAUUAUCUGCAUGUGAACUUAUUAUUUUGUUGUAUUUCCAAACUGUUUUUGGCAGCUUUGAUUAUGUAGUUGAUUUAAAACUGUGAUAUCUAAGCCUGGAAAUGAGGUCAUGUACUAUUUUAAAUACACCUUGUGAAUCCUCUUUUCAGUUUCAACAGUGACCUCUACUGUUGAAGCUUUGAGGAGCCACAGGAACUUGUGAGUGACCUUAAACUAAAACAUAUACCUGAGAACACUGAAUCAAUUUAAGUUUAAUAAAGGUUCAAUCUGAUUUCUUGGUGGCAGAAAUCAACAGUUUAAAGGGAUAGUUUACUCAGAAAUGAAAGUUCUGUCAUUAAUUGCUCACCCUCAUGUCGUUGCAAACCUGUACGCCCUCCGUUCAUCUUCAGAACACAAAUAUAUUUUUGAUGAAAUCGGAGCACUUUCUGACCCUGCAUAGACAGCGAGGGUCCUACCACGUUCAAGACCCAGAAAGGUACCAAGAAAGUUGACAUAAUAGUCCAUGUCACAUCAGUGGUUCAACUGUAAUUUUAUUAAGAUAUUAGAAUACUUUUUGUGCACAAAAAACAAAACAAAAUAAAAAUGAUUUUAUUCAACAAUUCUUCUUCCCUAAGUUACCGUCCUCCACCAUUAUUGAGAGUAUCACGACGCAUGUGUGUGGUGCUGCUGACGUAGAACACGUUGAAUAAAGUAGGCUUAAUACACUUUCACCUACAUAAAAAGUACAUUAUAUGGUUUCCUGUGGUCUAAUGUGCUGCUUCCUAAUUCACCCAUUGUUUGAGUCUCAUUUAGUCUUUUCUCACUUGCUGUAACGAAGUUGUUCACCUUCAUGAUUUUUCAGUCCUACAGUAAGUGAUUCAUGAGGUAUAAUAUCUUCCAAAAAAUGUUGUUCAUAUUUGUAUUUAUUUUUUGGUUAAGCUUCAUUGUCUUGAAUAUUUCUGCAUGUCCAAUCAAUAAACUGAGGAUUCAGUCACACAAACUACAAAAUGAUUACAAAUACUGAAACAAGAACCAGCAUGUCUUUGUUUGGGAUUAAUGAUGUUUAAUAUGUAUACAGAAAUAUUUGAAUAACCGUGAAGCAUGUGAAGGUCUUAUUCAAAUGAAUUAAAAGUCUCAGCCAGAAUAUGGACCUUGUUCAUUUACUGUUGCUCUUGUAAACAUGGUCAAUUAAGAGAUGUGUAGCAAUUUAUCUGUUUUGGGUUGUUGCAGAAUCUCCUACCGUAAAAGUAUCUCCAGAUGUCAUAAGAGAGUCCAGCCCAGUGAAGAUCAGCUGUGAGACGCCAGCAGAUGUUACAGUAAAUCAGUGUUAUUUCUACACCAACAGAGAAAAGAAGAAUAUAAAAGUCAGUUCAUUAUGUGAGCUCGAGCUCACUGGUGCUGAAGUGCUCAGUUGGGCAGCUGUAAAAUCACCUGUAUCAUUCAACAUUUACUGUUACUACACAAUACAUGAGCUAGACUAGACUAGAAACAUACCAUCAUCUGAUUCUCCUCAGUCUGGAGAGAAUCUUUGUAUGUUUUAAGUCAUAGUGAACUCUUGAGACGAUCAGUGAACAGCAGACAGCUGAUCUGUGUUUAUUCACUCAAGACUGAACAUGAGAUCAGAUCACCACACAGUGAAACAUACACUAUCAGUGGUGAGAGCAUUUUAUACAAGUAAAAAUGUAUUUAGUGAAUUUAUAUUUUUCUAGUUGUGCUGUCCGUGCUGUAAACUAUUUUGUUUGCUAGGGAUUCUUCUUUGUGAGAGCUUACAACUUACAGAGACAAAAUCUGUCUAAUGAAACUCUUUCAGAAAUCUGCCCAAAUAUGUAGUAAAAAAGUCAUGAAGAUUCAUUAGUUUAAAAGUGGUAAAUCCUGGAUAUAUCGAUGAGAGAGACUAUUCAAACCAAUAGUCUUUCUCUACCCAGCCAUUUCUAAAACAGAAACCAAUCAGUUUGUGCCUUCAACAAACAAACUUUGCUUUAAUGUCCUCAAAAUGACAAUCAUUCAAGCCCAUGGUUAUUUUAGUACAAUGAAAAAAUAUAUAUACGUAUGCCAGUCUGUUAAGACAUUUUCCAAGUUAAAAACAACAAUGUUCACAUUGCAGUUUAAAAAGCAACAUCCACUACAUCAUUUAUUUACAACAGUAACACUUAAUAACUUUUUUUGACGAAUUUAGCGGGCAGAUAGUGUUAUAUAAGUAAACUGUGUUGUCUGUGGCUACUGAUUCACUCCAUACUGUAUCUGUAUAGUUUCAUGUCUGUUGUAUCACAUCACACUCUGACACACUGUUGAUUCUAUCAGCUGUUUUUACAGCAGCCUCGACUCUGCCUGAUUCAACCAGAGACACAGAAACAUGUAGGCCUUUAUUUUUACUUUGCUUACAACAGAACAUUAAAUCUAUUAAAUGUUAAAGAAGAAUCCUUUUCCUGACAGUAAAUCUGAUAGAUCUGAUAUCUGAUAGAAAACGUGAUUUCUGUACGCAUUAUGCAAUCGUUGAGUUUUUACUCUUAAUAUGAUUUAAUCUGAGAUCUUUUCUGUUGCAGCUGUUCCUCAAACUGUUCACACUCACUCUGAAGGUUGUUCAUUCACUCGCAACACAAAAACAAAACAGCUAUUCUGAAUAUUUGUAUAACCAAAAAUGAUCAUAUCAUGGUGUAUAUUAAAUUUAAAAUAAAUGUAACAGAAAUUGCACUUAAUUCAUCAGAUUUGUGUAAUUAAAUGUAUUCCUUUAUUACAAUAUAAUUUUUUAUUAUUAUUUUUUCUUUGACGGACUCUUCUUUGACUUAUUUCUGUCUGGACUCAUAGGAUUCAUCUGUCUGUGCCGCUUUACCAAGCUAAACUACACCUCCUGCCAGAUGGAAACAACAUCUCUAUUAACUUCCUCUGUCUGCUCUUCAAAACAUGGAUGACCUGUUUACUUUCUUUUUCUGUUUCAUUUAGUUGAUGCACUAUUGCUAAAGUAUCUAAUAUCAAAUCUCAUUUAGUCUAUACUUCUUCAUUCAACUAUUUGAACAUACACAUGCACACAAAUCCCAAAAAUACAGCUGAUAGUUGAACUGCAAAAGUUUCAGAAAAUUAUC